UGACCUCGGAUCAGGUAGGAAUACCCGCUGAACUUAAGCAUAUCAUUA
rnacentral:rRNA from 1 species